rnacentral:rRNA from 1 species
CCUACGGGGUGCAGCAGUGGGGAAUAUUGCACAAUGGGGGAAACCCUGAUGCAGCGACGCCGCGUGAGUGAAGAAGUAUCUCGGUACGUAAAGCUCUAUCAGCAGGGAAGAAAAUGACGGUACCUGACUAAGAAGCCCCGGCUAACUACGGGCCAGCAGCCGCGGUAAUACGUAGGGGGCAAGCGUUAUCGGGAUUUACUGGGUGUAAAGGGAGCGGAGACGGCAGCACAAGUCUGGAGUGAAAUCCCGGGGCUUAACCCCGGAACUGCUGUUGAAACUGUGCGGCUGGAGUGCAGGAGGGGUAAGCGGAAUUCCUAGUGUAGCGGUGAAAUGCGUAGAUAUUAGGAGGAACACCGGUGGCGAAGGCGGCUUACUGGACUGUAACUGACGUUGAGGCUCGAAAGCGUGGGGAGCAAACAGGAUUAGAUACCCCUGUAGUC